UACGGAGGGUGCGAGCGUUAAUCGGAAUUACUGGGCGUAAAGGGUGCGUAGGUGGUUUAUUAAGUUAUCUGUGAAAUCCCUGGGCUCAACCUGGGCAGGUCAGAUAAGACUGGUAGACUCGAGUAUGGGAGAGGGUAGUGGAAUUUCCGGUGUAGCGGUGAAAUGCGUAGAGAUCGGAAGGAACACCAGUGGCGAAGGCGGCUACCCUGGCCCAAUACUGACACUGAGGCNCGAAAAGCUGGGGGAGC
rnacentral:rRNA from 1 species